UCGCGAAGGUUCAUUUCGUGAAAAAAUGCGAACAACGUGAAUUGGCUAACUCUGACGCAUUUUUUCUUCACCUCUUCUUGUUUAACAAAAAUAAUUAAAUAAAAAACAGAGGCAGUCAAAUCAAUUCACUCUAUUGUCAAAAAUUCUCAACAUGGCUUCAUCACCAAUUCACCAUCUCAUCUUUUGUUUCCUCCCAUUUAUCAUUUCCACCGUGCCUCCAUCAAACUAGUGAGUGUUAUGCAACAAAUUGGUUCUGCACAGCUUUUGUUAGAAAUUAAAUCAAGCAUAAAACCCAGAAGAUCAUAGAAGCAUGUUGUGUUAUACUCUUAGUCAUUAAUCAAAGAUUUGAUUGGACCUCAUGAGAAAGCAAGAGGCACCGCCCACCUCUUUGCCUCCACCGUUUGCCUUUUGUUAGCUUAAUAGGUAGUAGUAGUUAGUAAACUUAAUUGUUAAGAAUCCAAGCCUAUAAAUGGCAUGUAUGAUCCAUGGUUGUAACAUAUCAAUUUUGUAAAUCACAAUAGUACUGAAGAAACAAACUCUCUCCAUCUCUGUUUUUUCUUUUUAUUUCAAGAUUCUUAUAUCCCACUGAUAUCAGCUUUUAAUUUUAAUUUUUC
rnacentral:lncRNA from 1 species